CCAGUGGGCAGCCGCAUGCUUUGUCAGAAGCCCGUCUGGGAAUGACAUCAGGUGUUUGGACCCCCGGCCAGUUCCUUGUCCAAACGGUGAGCAGUCCAGUGGGGCAAGGGCACGUGCCAGGCUCAGGCCCACCUGGCGACACUGGGCCUGGCUGGCCAUGGCCUUCCCUCCUGCUCACAGUCCCUGAAACCCCCCUACUGGGCAGAAGGAGCUGUGGGGGCUGCCUCCCCCGGGGCCCCCACCACCUCGGUGCCUCCCUAACUGCCCACAUGAGGAUUCCCAUCCGUUUGUCCAUUGGGCCCUGGGCUGGGGGCUCAGGAGAGAGCAGCCUGAGGGCAUGUGCCCUGUAGAUAUUGGGCAAAAGUGUGACCCCAAGAGCUUGUCUUUGGCAUCCACUGUGCAGCUGGGGCCUCUCCUAGGUGGGCCAGGCUGGAGGCGGCUCCACCCGCACCUGCAGGCUUCUCAGCCUGGUUCCCAGGCCCGGGCUGGCACCUUGGCUGGCAGCCUUCCAGAUUCUCGCCCAGACACGGGUGUGCCUGGGCCUUGCACAACCAGGUAACGCCACAUAAGCAUGGCAAGUCUUGGGGAACCUUUGCCCCACACCCUGAUGAGUGGGGGCCCAUGAGUGGGGGGUGCAGAGGCUCACGAGCCAGGAUCCCCUGCUGUUGCUAGUGGGCUGGGACCCUCAGAAGGCCAUAGGGGAGGCAAUGGGAGUCGGGCAAAUGCCCAAUGGAGGCGAGGAGGGAUAAGGCCACCUCUCGGGUCCCACGGCAGAUCACUGCACCUCCCUGUCCUCUCCGGGGCUCCCUCAUACAGCAGCUCACAGGAGGCACCCACCCCCUUCAGCUCGGCUCCCGAGGGACUGGAGAAGGCCAGAGUCUGUCACUCAUGGCCACGCCACACUCGUCACUUCUCCCAGGCCCCGUGGAGCCCCAGGUUGUGAAAGCCGCAGGUGGCUCCUGUUACCCGAGGUGGCAGCACCCUCCCAGAGCGGGUGCCAACCUGCUGGUGUAGCAUGCCCGCUGUCUCCUGAGUGGCCCGUGGACAGCACAUGCUGAGCUGGUUUCCCCAGGUGGGUCACUGAUGGCCGAGGAGAAGCUUCCGCCAGCCAGACAGGUGGGGGCAGCUCCCCACCAGGGCUGGGCUCCUCCACGUGCUUGUGGGACACAGAGCCCUACCGUGAGCAGCUCCUGGGCUGGGCACGCGUCUCUGAACGCUCUGGCAAGUCGCGGGCACAUGUUUAGGGGUCAUUUUGUGUUCCUUGGGGAGAGGCCAGCCUGGCCCGGUAAGUUAGCUCCUCGGAGAGUCAGAGUAGCACCAGGGGAGCGAAAGGGCUGCUGGGCUCCCAGGCGCACCGCACCGUGUGAGAGGGAGCAGCCGCAGAUGACAGUGCUGGAGGCUCACUUUCUGCCUGUGCCGGCUUGUCGUCCACUACACCCCUGAGAGGGUGUUGCUUCAUCUUCCUUCUCAUGUCACAGCUGAGGAAGCUCAGGCCCAGGGCUGUGCUCCGGGUUCCACGCUGGCACAUGGCGGAGCUGGACUGUGAGCCUGCCUGGCACGAGGGCAGCCUCCUCCCCUCUGAAAGGAAGUUCCCCUUCUGGUCACACCUCGAUACCUCCUGCUGCAAUUGGGAGCCACAGGUGCUUGUGCUUGUCACCUUCCUCCCCUGUGUCACCAGUCCCCUCUGAUGCUGGAGAUAGUGACAGUGUACUCAGCAGAGAUGCCGGGUGUGGAGUCCCAGCUCCACCACUGAGAACUGUUUAACCUCCGAGAAAUCACUGCCCCUCUCUAUGCCUCAGUUUCCC
rnacentral:lncRNA from 1 species